ACCGUAACCAAUUCGGCCAGUAGCCACCUCUAUAUACACACACACACACAUUUUAGUCGCGAAGAAGUAUCAUUUACAGACAAAUUUUGCAUCUUUUAUUGUUCUUGUUUUCCCCCAGAAAGCACUUUUAUUUUGUAGCUUAGUUCAUUGGAACACACAACAAUAACCAUAUUGUCUCAAUAUAUUGUUUUAGGUAAAUUGACCUCCCUUUCUAGAAUUUGAACUUACCAAACAACUAUCCUUUCUGGGCUCCAAAGAGUUGCUUAGGAUUUAGGAAGUUGGCUCUUUGGCUUUGUACUUCCUAGCUAACUAAAUACAAUCUACUUCAUAGAAAGUAUUACUUCCUAGCAAGCUUGGAUAUGACUCUUCCGCGUCUGCUAGCAGUAGAAUGCAUAUGCUUCAUAGACAGGAUUGGACUUACAAGACAGAAGUCUCCUUUCUUGGGACUCCAUUUACUUGUUUUGGAAUUGAAAUCUUUUCCUCGCUACUUGUAACGUGCUGCUUUCCCAGAACUAAGAAAGACGUUUCUUUAUUCCCUUGCUCAUCAGUUUCUCCAGGACAUGAUCUUCCGCUCCCGCGAACUAGACCUCUAAUGCUCAUUUUGAGUUCUUUAUCCUUCAUUAGAGACUCCAAUGUCACAUGCACACGGUAUCUCCAAUAAUGCUUUGGAUUAGUGGGAUCAUUGAUAGUCUCCUCUGUUGCAGGACGUGUCAUGUACUCUUCUUUUAAUGCCAACAAAUCCUGAAGAGGGAAAAUUGCCCACAUUGAUGGAGCUUCAACAUGUUGCCUAAUGACAAAAUGUGCAAUAUCUGGCCUACAUUGACUAGGCGGCAAUUCAUCAGACCCCACCACACUCUUGAAGAAUCGACAUCUUCUUUCUUCAUCUUCUUCCCACCAAGCACGCAAAGUGGAGCAAUCAUGGCAUGAUGGAGCACAUACCGUCAUGUAGUUGUACUGUGAAGGAAUACCAAACUCC
rnacentral:misc_RNA from 1 species